GGGGGCGUGGCGAAAUUGGUAGACGCACUGGAUUUAGGUUCCAGCGCCGCAAGGUGUAAGAGUUCGAGUCUCUUCGCCACCACCA
rnacentral:tRNA from 1 species